rnacentral:rRNA from 1 species
GGGUGAGUAACACGUGGGUGAUCUGCCCUGCACUUCGGGAUAAGCCUGGGAAACUGGGUCUAAUACCGGAUAGGAGCCAUUUUUAGUGUGAUGGUUGGAAAGUUUUUCGGUGUAGGAUGAGCUCGCGGCCUAUCAGCUUGUUGGUGGGGUAAUGGCCUACCAAGGCGGCGACGGGUAGCCGGCCUGAGAGGGUGGACGGCCACAUUGGGACUGAGAUACGGCCCAG